rnacentral:rRNA from 1 species
AUUGAACGCUGGCGGCAUGCCUAACACAUGCAAGUCGAACGAGUAGCCGGUUUCGGCCGGCGAGAGUGGCGGACGGGUGAGUAACGCGUGGGAAUCUGCCCAGUAGUGGGGGGACAACCCGGGGAAACUCGGGCUAAUACCGCAUACGCUCUACGGAGGAAAGCGGGGGACCGUAAGGCCUGGCACUGAUGGAUGAGCCCAAGUCGGAUUAGCUAGUUGGCGGGGUAACGCCCACCAAGGCGACGAUCCGUAGCUGGUCUGAGAGGACGAUCAGCCACACUGGAACUGAGACACGGUCCAGACUCCUACGGGAGGCAG